GUGUCAGCCGCCGCGGUAAUACGGAGGGUGCAAGCGUUAAUCGGAAUUACUGGGCGUAAAGCGUGCGCAGGCGGUUUUGUAAGACAGGCGUGAAAUCCCCGGGCUCAACCUGGGAACUGCGUUUAUGACUGGCAGGCUAGAGUAUGGCAGAGGGGAGUGGAAUUCCACGUGUAGCAGUGAAAUGCGUAGAGAUGUGGAGGAACACCAAUGGCGAAGGCAGCCCCCUGGGUCGCAACUGACGCUGAUGCACGAAAGCGUGGGUAGCAAACAGGAUUAGAUACCCUGGUAGCCCACGCCCUAA
rnacentral:rRNA from 1 species